rnacentral:rRNA from 1 species
CCUACGGGGGGCAGCAGUGGGGAAUAUUGCACAAUGGGGGAAACCCUGAUGCAGCGACGCCGCGUGAGUGAAGAAGUAUCUCGGUACGUAAAGCUCUAUCAGCAGGGAAGAAAAUGACGGUACUUGACUAAGAAGCCCCGGCUAACUACGUGCCAGCGGCCGCGGUAAUACGUAGGGGGCAAGCGUUAUCCGGAUUUACUGGGUGUAAAGGGAGCGUAGCCGGCAGGACAAGUCUGGAGUGAAAUCCCGGGGCUUAACCCCGGAACUGCUUUGGAAACUGUGGGUCUUGAGUGCAGGAGGGGGAAGCGGAAUUCGUAGUGUAGCGGUGAAAUGCGUAGAUAUUAGGAGGAACACCGGUGGCGAAGGCGGCUUACUGGACUGUAACUGACGUGGAGGCUCGAAAGCGUGGGGAGCAAACAGGAUUAGAUACCCGGGUAGUC